CAAUAGCGUAUAUUAAAGUUGUUGCAGUUAAAAAGCUCGUAGUUGGAUUUGUGGCUGUCACGGGCGGCCUAUCACUUAGUGUUAGUGCUUGCCUGUGUCGCCAUCCUUGGGUGGAGCCCGUGUGGCAUUAGGUUGUCGUGCGGGGGAUGCCCAUCGUUUACUGUGAGAAGAUUAGAGUGUUCAAAGCAGGCUUAUGCCAUUGAAUAUGUUAGCAUGGAAUAAUAAGAUAGGACCUCGGUACUAUUUUGUUGGUUUGCGCACCGAGGUAAUGAUUAAUAGGGACAGUUGGGGGUAUUCGUAUUUCAUUGUCAGAGGUGAAAUUCUUGGAUUUCUGAAAGACGAACUACUGCGAAAGCAUUUACCAAGGAUGUUUUCAUUAA
rnacentral:rRNA from 1 species